rnacentral:lncRNA from 1 species
CUGCAUCAUGUGAUUACAGCUGGGCCUGUGCUGCUUCUACACCUCCCUCGCCCUGACACUUCCACCAGGUUGCUCCUCACCUCCGUCUCUGCUUUUAUCCUCUUACUGCUCCUUUCAGGACCAGCAGAAAUGUCAGCUUCCCAGGAAUCCUUCCCUGGAUCUCUGCAGCAAGAAAUAGCUUCUCUGAUCACUGUAGCACUUGGUUCUUUAAUAUCUUUAUCUUGCUCUACCUUGUUAUAUUUUUCUUGUGAACUUAAAAUUCCCUGUGAGGACGUAAACCUUUGAAGGUAUGUCUCAUAUCUCUGAACCUCUUUAAAAUGCCUAGCAUCCCUGUGUGGGUGCCAAUUGCUUGUGUAUUGAAUUAAAUUGUGAUUGUUAACUUAACAUCACAGGCAUGUAACUUAUUAAGAAUCUAAGAAAGCCACUAGGUUUCCAGUUAUAUGGAGAGAAACGGGUAACAAGAGAAUACAAGAAUAUUAAGCUUCAUCAGAUUCCAUGUUCUGAAGGUCAAGGUGGAAAGAAAACCCUAACACCUCUUCGUAUUUAGAAAACAACUAUGUUUUUUAGGCAUAAAACAAAUGCAAUUUCUGAAUUAUUUUGGAGUUAACUGGGUAUGAUCAUGAAGAAUAAUUUACAAAUUUUAUUUCAGUGGCAGUGAAAGAUCUUUCCGUCUGAGCUAAAAUAUCUUGCCUUUUUUAGAGGUUUAUCUUACUUUGAAUCAGAACCUACUCUUCCAGUCACUAAGAAAAGAGAACUGUGAGAAUCUCCUAAGUGUACUUACAUCCUGUGAUCACCUGUGCUGACCACCCCUUCUGUUGAUUAUCCAUCAUGUGGCCUAGGCCCUGAAGUCUCUUCUUUUCUCUUACAAGAAUGCAGACUCUGGAUCCCAAAGGCCCUGUCUGAAUUCUUGCUGUGACAUUUAUUAGCUCCGUCACCUCGAAUGAUUUGGCAGCAAAAAGCCCUAGAUUCCCACGUGGCACCCAGAGCUGGAGUUGCGCUCAGAGAACAUAAGCUCCCUGAAGACAGUACUUUGCUUUUCUCACCCUGUGGCCCCAGCACUUGGCACAGUCCAAGGCAAGGAGAAGGGUUAAAUGCAUGGUUGAAUGAACGAGGUAGGCUUUAAAUCUAAUGAGAAUUUCUAUAAGAGGAAGAGAGGACACAGAGACUCAGGGAGAAGGCGAGCUGAAGGCAGCUGCAGUGACUGGAGUGAUACAGCUACAAGCCAAAGGAUGCCGAUAAUUGCCCCUGGAAACUAAGAGAGACCCUCAGGUCCUCCAAAAGGAACCAACCCUGUCAACACCUCACUUUCAAACUUCCAGACUCCACAAUGAUGAGAAUAAAUUUCUGUUGUUGUAAA